AUCACUCGCGGUUAGGAGCUGGAGGCCAGCCCAGCCAACACAGCGAAACCCCAUCUCCACCAAAAAAAUACGAAAACCAGUCAGGCGGGAGGGGGGAGGGGGGCAAAGCCAAGCCAAGGGGUCGCCUUCUCUUCUCCUUAUGCCCACAGCCCUUUGCCGCCCACCUCUCCCUUCCCCAUGCUGGAGGGCCUCUUGCUCUCCUAUUGUAGGCGUGUGUUUUUUAGUUCCUGCACACAGGCAGUUUGGCUCAUAACUAAACUUCACUAUAAAAAUGUAAAGCAUGGUGCAAGUCAAAGCGACAGAGCAGAGUGGAGUUCCCUUAGAAUUUCACCUCACUCAUCCUGGUUUCAGUUUUAAAGCUCAGAUGCAUUAGUUAGUGCCAGCUCAUAGGCAGGGUUAGGCUUCAAGGUAACAUUACUUGAGGGCCUCAUAAUUGGCUCUGAAAGCAAUUCUUUUUUUUUUUUUUUUUUGAGACG
rnacentral:lncRNA from 10 species